rnacentral:rRNA from 1 species
GAUGAACGCUGGCGGCGUGCCUAACACAUGCAAGUCGAGCGAUUCUCUUCGGAGAAGAGCGGCGGACGGGUGAGUAACGCGUGGGUAACCUGCCCUGUACACACGGAUAACAUACCGAAAGGUAUGCUAAUACGAGAUAAUAUGCUUUUGUCGCAUGAUAGAAGUAUCAAAGCUUUUGCGGUACAGGAUGGACCCGCGUCUGAUUAGCUAGUUGGUAAGGUAACGGCUUACCAAGGCGACGAUCAGUAGCCGACCUGAGAGGGUGAUCGGCCACAUUGGAACUGAGACACGGUCCAAACUCCUACGGGAGGCAGCAGUGGGGAAUAUUGCACAAUGGGCGAAAGCCUGAUGCAGCAACGCCGCGUGAGCGAUGAAGGCCUUCGGGUCGUAAAGCUCUGUCCUCAAGGAAGAUAAUGACGGUACUUGAGGAGGAAGCCCCGGCUAACUACGUGCCAGCAGCCGCCGUAAGAC